rnacentral:rRNA from 1 species
CAGGUCACUCCUACGGGAGGCAGCAGUGGGGAAUAUUGGACAAUGGGGGCAACCCUGAUCCAGCAAUGCCGCGUGAGUGAUGAAGGCCUUCGGGUUGUAAAGCUCUUUUGCCAGGGACGAUGAUGACGGUACCUGGAGAAUAAGCCCCGGCUAACUUCGUGCCAGCAGCCGCGGUAAUACGAAGGGGGCAAGCGUUGUUCGGAAUUACUGGGCGUAAAGGGCGCGUAGGCGGCUUGCCAAGUCAGGCGUGAAAUUCCCGGGCUCAACCUGGGGGCUGCGCUUGAUACUGGCUGGCUUGAAUGCGGGAGAGGAUGGUGGAAUUCCCAGUGUAGAGGUGAAAUUCGUAGAUAUUGGGAAGAACACCGGUGGCGAAGGCGGCCAUCUGGCCCGUGAUUGACGCUGAGGCGCGAAAGCGUGGGGAGCAAACAGGAUUAGAUACCCUGGUAGUCCACGCCGUAAACGAUGAGUGCUAGACGCUGGUAGGUUUACCUAUCGGUGUCGCAGCUAACGCAUUAAGCACUCCGCCUGGGGAGUACGGUCGCAAGAUUAAAACUCAAAGGAAUUGACG